rnacentral:rRNA from 1 species
UACGUAGGGAGCAAGCGUUGUCCGGAAUCAUUGGGCGUAAAGCGCGCGUAGGUGGCCUCAUAAGUCCGCUGUGAAAGUCAAAGGCUCAACCUUUGAAAGCCGGUGGAUACUGUGGGGCUAGAGUACGGAAGAGGAGAGUGGAAUUCCUGGUGUAGCGGUGAAAUGCGCAGAUAUCAGGAAGAACACCCGUGGCUAAGGCGGCUCUCUAGUACGGUACUGACGCUGAGACGCGAAAGCGUGGGGAGCGAACAGG